UUAAUUGAAACCAAAUUCGAGGUUUAUCACUGUUAAUGAUAUAAAUGGAUCAUUUCCCAAUUAAA
rnacentral:tRNA from 1 species